rnacentral:tRNA from 1 species
AUUUAUAUAGUUUAUAAAAACAUUACAUUUUCACUGUAAAAAUAAAGAAUUUUCUUUUAUAGAUA